CAGUAGUCUGAAAUGCAAGUGCUUC
rnacentral:piRNA from 2 species